rnacentral:rRNA from 1 species
GGAUUAGGCAUGCAAGUCGCACGAGAAAGGCUUCUUCGGAAGCCGAGUAAAGUGGCGAACGGGUGAGUAAUGCAUAGACAACUCGCCCUUGAGAUGGGGACAACGCCUCGAAAGGGGUGCUAAUACCCAAUGCCGCCUUGGGCCUGCGGGUCCAGGGUGAAAGGAGGCCUCUGAUUCAAGCUUCCGCUCAAGGAGAGGUUUAUGUCCUAUUAGCUAGUUGGCGGGGUAACGGCCCACCAAGGCUGCGAUGGGUAGCCGACCUGAGAGGGUGACCGGCCACAUUGGGACUGAGACACUGCCCAGACUCCUACGGGAGGCUGCAGUCGAGAAUCUUCCGCAAUGCGCGCAAGCGUGACGGAGCGACGCCGCGUGGGUGAUGAAGGCCUUCGGGUUGUAAAACCCUGUCAGCUACUACGAAACACGGGCGAUGAACAAUCGUCCCGUCUGACUUAAGUAGCAGAGGAAGCACCGGCUAACUACGUGCCAGCAGCCGCGGUAAUACGUAGGGUGCGAACGUUGUUCGGAAUCACUGGGCAUAAAGGGCGCGUAGGCGGUCUGAUAAGUCAGGUGUGAAAUCCCUCGGCCUAACCGAGGAACUGCAUUUGAUACUGUCGGGCUAGAGUACAGGAGGGGAGAGUGGAAUUCCUGGUGGAGCGGUGAAAUGCGUAGAUAUCAGGAGGAACGCCGGCGGCGAAAGCGACUCUCUGGCCUGUUACUGACGCUGAGGCGCGAAAGCUAGGGGAGCAAACGGGAUUAGAUACCCCGGUAGUCCUAGCCCUAAACGAUGGGCACUAAGUAGAGGGGUUUU